AAGAACCGAUCACUCUCCAUCUCUCAUUCACUAUCAUCUUUUUUGAAGACCUCUCAAAGUGUUCUCUCCAUUUUUCAAGCCCAAGAACACCAAGGAAACUUUGAGGCUAAGUCUUGGUCUAGGAAGUAUUUUCCCUAAGGUAAACUUUCACUAAUCUAGGUUUUUGUAAAGUUUUAAGCAUAGAGUUUCAAAUAGCUAAUUGACUAUGUUGUUGGGGGAAGUUUGUUAAGGUUUUUGAAAGGUUUUGAAGGAGUCAAAGCUUAUAGGAAGGUCCAAACCUUAAGCAAGAACACCAAAGAGUAUUGGCUAAGCGUAACUGGACUGAACGUUGGAGGGUGAAACCCUGCUGAGCGCUAAGGACUCCAAGUAAGAGCAAGGGCAAGGCAGAGCAGUGAGCGCUGGAGUCUUCCUUGCAAAUGUACAUGUGGACCGACCUUUUGGGAAGCCGUUUUAUUUUUGGAAAUGUUGUGUAAUUUUCCUAAACUAGGCUCACUCUACUCUUUAUAAAACAUGUUUGUAACUAAAUGUUAAGUAUGGCCAUACGACUUUUUAAAAAGUUUUUUUUUUUCUAUGGGUUUUUGAGACAUUUUGUUAAAUGAAAACAUUUAUAU